rnacentral:rRNA from 1 species
CCGUAGCCCAAGAGAUCGGGAUAACACCUGGAAACAGAUGCUAAUACCGGAUAACAACAGAUGAUGCCUAUCAACUGUUUAAAAGAUGGUUCUGCUAUCACUCUUGGAUGGACCUGCGGUGCAUUAGCUAGUUGGUAGGGUAACGGCCUACCAAGGCGAUGAUGCAUAGCCAAGUUGAGAGACUGAUCGGCCACAUUGGGACUGAGACACGGCCCAAACUCCUACGGGAGGCAGCAGAC